rnacentral:rRNA from 1 species
CUGGCCGUAAACUAUGAGCACUAGAUAGGAGGAACCCCCAUAUUCUUCCUGUCGUAGCGAAAGUGUUAAGUGCUCCGCCUGGGGANCGAAGAACCUUAUCCUAGUCUUGACAUGCACGGAUUAACCCCAGGAAACUGGGGCCACGCCUUCGGGUGGAACGUGCACAGGUGC